rnacentral:rRNA from 1 species
AUUGCCUCAGUAACGGCGAGUGAAGCGGCAACAGCUCAAAUUUGAAAUCUGGCCCUAGGCCCGAGUUGUAAUUUGCAGAGGAUGCUUUUGGCAAGGUGCCUUCCGAGUUCCCUGGAACGGGACGCCAUAGAGGGUGAGAGCCCCGUCUGGUCGGACACCGAGCCUCUGUAAAGCUCCUUCGACGAGUCGAGUAGUUUGGGAAUGCUGCUCAAAAUGGGAGGUAUAUGUCUUCUAAAGCUAAAUACCGGCCAGAGACCGAUAGCGCACAAGUAGAGUGAUCGAAAGAUGAAAAGCACUUUGAAAAGAGAGUUAAAUAGCACGUGAAAUUGUUGAAAGGGAAGCGUUUAUGACCAGACUUGGCCCGGUUGAUCAUCCAGCCUUCUGGCUGGUGCACUCUGCCGGUCCAGGCCAGCAUCAGUUCGUCGCGGGGAUAAAGGUUUCGGGAAUGUAUCUCCUCCGGGAGUGUUAUAGCCCGUUGCGUAAUACCCUGCGGUGGACUGAGGUCCGCGCUCUGCAAGGAUGCUGGCGUAAUGGUCAUCAACGACCCGUCUUGAAACACGGACCAAGGAGUCGUCUUCGUAUGCGAGUGUUCGGGUGUAAAACCCCUACGCGUAAUGAAAGUGAACGCAGGUGAGAGCUUCGGCGCAUCAUCGACCGAUCCUGAUGUUCUCGGAUGGAUUUGAGUAAGAGCAUACGGGGCCGGACCCGAAAGAAGGUGAACUAUGCCUGUAUAGGGUGAAGCCAGAGGAAACUCUGGUGGAGGCUCGCAGCGGUUCUGACGUGCAAAUCGAUCGUCAAAUAUGGGCAUGGGGGCGAAAGACUAAU